rnacentral:tRNA from 1 species
GCCCCCGUGGUCGAACGGGCUAUGACGCCGGACUCUCAAUCCGGAAGUUGCGGGUUCGAGUCCCGCCGGGGGUACUA